GACGAACGCUGGCGGCGUGCUUAACACAUGCAAGUCGAACGGAAAGGCCCUGCUUUUGUGGGGUGCUCGAGUGGCGAACGGGUGAGUAACACGUGAGUAACCUGCCCUUGACUUUGGGAUAACUUCAGGAAACUGGGGCUAAUACCGGAUAGGAGCUCCUGCUGCAUGGUGGGGGUUGGAAAGUUUCGGCGGUUGGGGAUGGACUCGCGGCUUAUCAGCUUGUUGGUGGGGUAGUGGCUUACCAAGGCUUUGACGGGUAGCCGGCCUGAGAGGGUGACCGGCGAAAUUGGGACUGAGAGACGGCCCAGACUCCUACGGGAGGCAGCAGUGGGGAAUAUUGCACAAUGGGCGGAAGCCUGAUGCAGCAACGCCGCGUGCGGGAUGACGGCCUUCGGGUUGUAAACCGCUUUCGCCUGUGACGAAGCGUGAGUGACGGUAAUGGGUAAAGAAGCACCGGCUAACUACGUG
rnacentral:rRNA from 1 species